rnacentral:tRNA from 1 species
GGACUCAUAGCUCAGUUGGCUAGAGCGCCUCAUUGACGUUGAGGAGGUCGUAGGUUCGAAUCCUACUGAGUCCACCA